UACGGAGGGGGCUAGCGUUGUUCGGAAUUACUGGGCGUAAAGCGCACGUAGGCGGCUUUGUAAGUUAGAGGUGAAAGCCCGGGGCUCAACUCCGGAAUUGCCUUUAAGACUGCAUCGCUAGAAUUGUGGAGAGGUAAGUGGAAUUCCGAGUGUAGAGGUGAAAUUCGUAGAUAUUGGGAAGAACACCGGUGGCGAAGGCGGCUCACUGGCUCGUUACUGACGCUCAGGCACGACAGCGUGGGGAUCAAACAGG
rnacentral:rRNA from 1 species